rnacentral:rRNA from 1 species
UUGAACGCUGGCGGCAUGCUUUGCACAUGCAAGUCGAACGGUAACAGGCCGCAAGGUGCUGACGAGUGGCGACCGGGUGAGUAAUGCAUCGGAACGUGCCCAGUCGUGGGGGAUAACUACUCGAAAGAGUAGCUAAUACCGCAUACGAUCUAUGGAUGAAAGCGGGGGACCGUAAGGCCUCGCGCGAUUGGAGCGGCCGAUGUCAGAUUAGGUAGUUGGUGGGGUAAAGGCUCACCAAGCCAACGAUCUGUAGCUGGUCUGAGAGGACGACCAGCCACACUGGGACUGAGACACGGCCCAGACUCCUACGGGAGGCAGCAGUGGGGAAUUUUGGACAAUGGGCGCAAGCCUGAUCCAGCAAUGCCGCGUGCAGGAAGAAGGCCUUCGGGUUGUAAACUGCUUUUGUACGGAACGAAACGGCUCUGGUUAAUACCCGGGGCUAAUGACGGUACCGUAAGAAUAAGCACCGGCUAACUACGUG